GUGACGAUCACCUGCGGAUCCGUAAUUUUCGGAUCCGUUUUGAGAAUUGGAUCCGUUAAAAAAAUUGAACUUGUGCGACUAUACCUCAUCCGAUAUGCCGACCGGAUGUGAUGUAUUCCAAUGUUGUCCUAUCAGGAUCACAGCCGAAGCGACGCCACUCAAUACAUCCUCAAGAUCCUUGUGGUCCAUGGUGCCGAUGGAGAGGAUCCUGUGGAUGUAUCCAGCCUUCUUUAAGGCAAAGAGACCUUGUAAGGAUGUGGCCAUACUGCUAAAGCUUGCAUGCUGCUAAUGGGGCUUUGCAAUAGCAACAUUAUGCUACACUUUUGAGGUGUUAGAAAGUUUUUCUAGAAUUGGAUUAGAUUAAACUGUCCAUAAAGCCUUAAAGGUUGCCAUGCAGAGUACAAUCUAGGCUGCUGAUGCUCCCCAACUCAUGUCUCAUCUUAAAAAUAACUCACAUACAGCAUCUUGUCUUUAUAUGUCCACUGUCCAGGAAAACAGACAUGUAGCGGCCUUCUUCAGUUUUGAUUCUCCGAAAAACUUGAUGUUGACAUAUAUGGACAGAACCUGCUGACAUUUGUUGAAAUGUUUUUUUGUUUUGUGUCAAAUUAGGCACCUGAUCUUUGUGUCAUUCUUUUUUUUAUAUAUAACUGUCAGAGUCCUUUAUUGUAUUUGUUUUUUCUCUUUCUUUCAUGCUACUAUUACAUUUGUUGCUGACCUGCUCCAACUACAACAUUAAGUGAGAAAAUAUCCUUUCAUAAAGCUAUUCCCCAUCAAAUUGUACUGAAUUGUGCAUUCAGUAAAACAUUUGGAGGUUUUACUGAAUGCACACUAAAUACUGUACCAGGUAGCUAUACAAAAGCUAGUGAGUCAUUACUUUUUAAUGUGGGCAAAAUAAACAGUUUAAUUUUUUUGUGUGUAUGAGAUUUGUAAUAAAAGUAGAUUACGUUCAUAGAGAAAGUGAUUACAUUUAUUUGGUAACAUUUAUGAAAAAAGAAAAUCUACAUAAUUGUAAAUGUCAAACAGAAAAAAUAUAAUACAUCUCCUUAAAUAAAAUACUAGGCAUAAAAAGAUUAACUUUAUAAUAUUUUGAUUUUACUGUCUGUACAAAAACAUUAAUUGACUUUGUCAGUGAGAGAUGUUUUGGCGCUACUGUGGAAUCAUUAGUAACGCUGAUGUUAUUUCUGGACGUCCAUGCAGGGACGCGGUCGCUCCAGGACCGAGAUGUAGCAGUUGGACAUCUCAAACCAAUCAAGGCUGCGUGUCUCUCCAAACUGAAAUACCAACAGAUACAGUUAGCCCUCAAUUGGAAUGAAUUCUUCUAAACUUCUGGAAUAUGGAUGAUACAAUACGGUUUCACUGGUAAUGAUUCAGAUAGGUUUUGGAAUAUUUUAGCAGGACCAAAUCAUUUGGUUCAUCAGAUGGAUGUUAAUUGAACUCUAUGACGUUUCUGCAAUUUAAGAAUCUUAGAAGUAGAAGUUUACUUACAAUGGUGAUGAAGUCAUCGUCCGGACUUUUUCUCACGUAUUUAAUUGCAACCUGCACAUAUAUACAAAACAUUUAUAUUGUUAUUGUAAAACAUGAAAAAAGAACAAAUCAUAAUUUGUACACAGUCGCGAUCAGAAAUAAACAGAAACUUUCACAUUGGGGAAUAA